rnacentral:lncRNA from 1 species
AUUUUAAGAUGUCAUCAAUUAUAAAAUUUACUGGUGAAAAAAAGAACAUAUGAUAUAAAUGUUUAUGUUGAUUUUGUAAGUGGCACAAUUUCUAAAACGAGUCAAAAUAAUAAUAAUGUUGUAUUUAGUAAUUAGAAUUAAUUGGAUCUUUAAUUAGUCAGAAUACUCACUGAUGAUAGAUAUUGGAGAAUUUCCUUUGAUUAAGUUGUAUUUGGUGGUUUGAGAUUGGGACAUAUUUAUCAAGAAAUAUGCCAGAUUUAGUUUCUUUCUGAACUCUCUUAAAACUUCAUGUAAACAAUGGUGGCAGGUGGCUCAUUUGCUUGUGAAUCUUUGGAGUUAAUUGAGGUUAUUAAGCAAUUUGGUCUCUGCCAGUCAGAAACUGUUAGGACUCACCUACUCCAUUGUGAUGAAUCACCCUGAGUUUAUUUCCCAGCUUUGACAAUACCUAUUUUUUCAGACUAGUAUCAAUAACUCUCUGAAGGUCAUGUUAUUUUAAAAAAAUGCAGGCUAAAUAUUUCCAAGUUAAACAAAAUCAACCCAAUAUUAAUUUCAAAUAUGUCCUACUUGCUCUUCUACACUUCAGAGUCAAGGCUGAUAGGAAAGUAUUCCAUAUAAAACUGUAAAACUAUAAAUUUAUUUGAAAAGAUUAACUCUUCACUUGACUUCAUACCAUUUUGAAUAAGUUUUCUUUUUUUCCUGUCUGAAAUGUGUACAGUUUGAGUUGAUUGUUUUUGGCAUAAACAAUGAGAAAACUAAAAUAGUUGCCAAGCGGUAAGGGCCAAACCUCUCUGAGCCAGUCAACUUUCUGACAGAUGUUAUUUAGAACUACUCACCUUCCUCAGUUGGGAGUAAAUGGAGUCGAGUCAUUCUUACAGAAGGUUCCCUUUUUGUUCUUCAUGCUGCCUCUUAACCCAGUUCAGAAGGGCCAUUACUCCACUAUAAAUAUAUGCCAAAUAUUCUUUGCAAAUAAACAAUAAGGCUGAAUUGUGAGUUUGUGCAUGUGCUUUAGUAUUUAGUAUGGUACAUGCAGUUAAAGAAAUAUGUAGUCAAAUAAGUAUUUUAAGAUGUGGGAACUGAUAUAUUUGAGUGACUGAAAUAUAAUGCUUUGCUCAAAACAACUAAUGGUAUUGGUAUUAUUAAGGGAAAGAAUUUAAAUUCCUACCCAUUCUAACUCUAGUGUAUACAUCUGUUUCACCACUGUCUAGGAGGGUUUCUUCAUGACUCUCUGUUCAAAAUUAUAGUCCCAAACUGUAUAUCACGGGUGCUUGCUAAUGAUACUAAUAAGAGUUUCACAGUCAUAUAGCUUUGAGAAAUGCUGGAUUUUACGGAAUUAAACAGUCUUUUAAUGAAAGGCCCUGAGAAAUCCUGCAGGUGAAAAAUAAAUACUUAAAUAAGUCCAUAAUACUCAAGUAUUGCUCUGGAAUCAAGUCCUUCGAAGAGAUUAUUGCUCCCUUUGUAAGUGGGAACUUUCUAAGUGGGAACUCUGUCUUAGACUUUAGAGCCUGCCCUAGAGGACUGAUUCUGCAUUGAUACCUGGAAGGCUGUCAUCUUUUUCUUUUUUUGCUGAGGAAUAUUCACCUGAGCUAACAUCUAUUGCCAAUCUUCCUCUUUUUAUUUGUGAGCCACUGCCACAGCAUAGCCACUGACUGACAAAUGAGUGGUGUAGGUCCAUAGCAGGUAACUGAACCUGGGCUGCCAAAGUGGAGCAUGCUGAACUUAACCACUAGGCAACCAGGGCUGGCCCAAGGAAGAGUGUCAUCUUAAUUGGGAAACUGUGGGCUCCACCUCAAAUCAUUUAUAAUCCUAGUGACCUCUGAACCAUGAAAAAAAAAAUCCCUUGAAUAGGAUGGCUGUCUUCAUUCAAAUUACCUUAAUCCAUUCUAGAGAAAACAAAAGCUAUCCCAGGAGUUAGAAAAGCAUGUGUUUGAAAACACUGAGGUAUAAGAUUUUAGUAAACAUGGGUGUAUUAGUUUGCUAGGGCUGCUAUAAUGAAGUACCACAGACUGGGUGGCUUAAACAACAGUGGUUUAUUUUCUCACAGCUCUGGAGGCUAGAAGUCUGAGAUCAAUGUGUUGGUGGGGUUAAUUUCUUCUGGAGUCUCUCUCCUUAGCUUCUAGAUGGCUGUCUUUUCCCUGUGUCUUCACAUGGGCUUUCCUCUGUGUGUGUCUGUGUCCUAAUCUCCUCUUGUUAUAAGGACACCAGUCAUAUCAGAUUAGAGCCUACGCUAAAGACCACAUUUAGCCUUAAUUAAUUAAUUAACCUCUUUAAAGACCCUAUAUCCAAAUAUAGUCAUAGUCAAGGGAUUGGGGGUUAAGACUUCAACCUGUGAAUUUUGGAGAGGCAUAAUUCAGCCCAUAAUUAACCCUAGGGCAGAAAUUUUCUGAAUAUAUUCCAUUAGGCCAAACAUAUUAGGAAUCUUUCACAGACAAGCAAAUAUUGCAAAAUUUCAUGGUCUGUGGAUAUGUAUAAUAAUAUUUAUGGCUCACUUUGCUUUUCUAUGAAUUUCUCUAGAUUUUUGCAAACCUGAUGAUCUGUAAAAAAAGGGAACUCUCAGCUGUGCUAAGAUGAAUGUGGAGUGAUGUCAACAUGAUGGCAGAGCGAACUUGCCCAGGACUCUCUCCCCUCCAACAUACAACAAAAAGGGGCAUCCAUACUCCAACAGAGGACAUCCUAACAACACAAAAACAUCGGAGAGACACGCAGCCACGUGAAGGAGGGCGGAGAGGCUGGAGUCCCGUUUGGAGGAGCUGGAACAGGGUAAGAGAGAACUUCACUCCCUCCCCUAAAGACUGUAAUUGCAACAGUGGGAAGUUCCAUGAGGGAAGGAACAGGGGAGGAGUCAUUCAUUCACGGGAUCCCCAAGGACUCCCUAGGGCCCUUGCAGCCUAGAGGUAAGCCCCCUAAUGGGGAGAAAGCUUUCCUGGGGGGGUGACCUUAUCAAGCAAACACCCCAGGAGACCAGAGAGUGGAGAGCUGAUCAGGAAAGCCUGGAGUGCAUGCGGGAGAAAGCUCCCCUUCCCCCAGCCAUGCCUGCUCUGCUUCCUGGGAUAUUGGCUGAAGGUGGAGGACUCAGAGUACGUGGCUAUCGACACCCACCCAGUGGCACUAGGCACUAACUGCAACCGAAUAGUAUCAGAAUGUGUAAGACCUGACCUACUUCUAGCAACAUCAGACACAACAUCAAAUCUCCAAACCAAAGAGAAAAUGACAAGCACCCAGAAUUCAGUCCUGAGGACACAGAAAUAUGUAAUCUAAAUGACAAUGAAUUCAAAAUAGCUAUCUUCAAAAAACUAAGCGAGGUAAAAGAGAAUGUAGAGAAACAAUUCAAUGAGUUCAGGAGCUACUUCACAAAAGAGAUUGAAACUAUAAAGAAGAAUCAAUCAGAAAUAUUAGAGAUGAAAGACAUAAUGGAAGAGAGAAAACAAAAUAUGGAUUCUCUGAAUGCUCGAGAGGACAUCGUAGAGGAGCAUGUCAGCACAAUCGAAGAUAAACAUGUUGAAAUGCUCCAGAAAGAGGAGGAGAGAGAACUAAGACUAAGAAGAAAUGAAGAAAGUCUCCAAGAAACAUCCAACUCAAUGAGGAAAUGCAACAUAAGAAUUAUAGGUAUUAAGAAGGAGAAGAGAAGGUGAAUGGAGCAGAAAUCAUGUUCAAAGAAAUAAUAGCAGAGAACUUCCCAAAUCUAGGGAAAGAGAGGGAAAUCUGUGUGGAAGAGGCUUCCAGAUCCCCUAGAUUUGUCAAUGUAAAAAGACCUACUGCAAGGCAUAUAGUAGUAAAACUGGCAAAAAUGAAUGACAAAGAAAAAAUAUGAAGGGCAGCAAGGCAGAAGAAAAUAACCUACAAAGGAACCCCUAUCAGGGUUUCAGCAGAUGUUUCUGCAGAAAUCUUACAAGUUAGGAGAGAAUGGAAUGACAUAUUCAAAUCUUUAAAGACAAAAAUCUUCAGCCAAGAAUACUCUAUCCAGGAAAAAUAUCCUUCAGAUAUGAGGGAGAAAUUAAAACUUUGCCAGAUAAAGAAAAGCUAAGGGACUUCGUAGCCAUGAGACCCUCACUACAAGAAAUCUUCAAGAAGGCCCUCACACCUGAAAAAAAAAAGGGAGAAAGGGGUCACAAAACACAGAGUAAGGAGAUAAAUAGAUAGACAGAAUCAGAAUAAGAUAGCAAAUAUUCAACUAUAGCAUUAAGCUAGAGGGAAGGAAAACAACAAAAACAAAGAUAAUCCUGUCAUUUUAACCACAAACUCACGACACAAGAUGGAAUAACAUAUCAGAAAAACAACUUAGGACUGCCUUAUACACGAGAUUCUGAAUGCAAACCUCAGGGUAACCAGUAAACAAAAAAGCAGAACAGAGACACAACGAAUAAAAAGGAGAAAACAAAGAAACACAUUGUAAAAAAACUACAUAAUUCAAUGGGUAGACCAAAACACACAGGACAAGAAACAAAGGAAAUGCAGGAAAAUCGGGAAAUGAGUAAUAAAAUGACAGCAUUAAGCCCUUAUACAUCAAUAAUCACCCUAAACAUAAAUGGAUUUAAUUCUCCAUUAAAAAGACACAGAGUGGCAAGAUGGAUUAAAUAACAAGACCCCAAAAUAUGCUGCCUCCAGCAAACACAUCUCAGCUCCAAUAACAAACACAGGCUCAGAGUGAAGGGGUGGAAGACGAUACUCCAAACUAAUGGCAAGCAAAAGAAAGCUGGUGUUGCAAUACUUAUAUAAGAUAAAGUGGACUUCAAGAGAAGACAGGUAAAGAGAGACAAAGAGGGGCAGUAUAUAAUGAUCAAAGGGACACUCCAUCAAGAAGAAAUAAUGCUUAUAAAUAUCUAUGCAUCCAACACAGGAGCACCAAAGUUCUUAAAGAAACUAUUAAUAAACCUAAAAGAAGAUAUUAAUAAUAACACAAUAACAGUAGGACCUCAAUGCUCCAUUCACAUCAAUGGAUAGAUCAUCCAGACAAAAAAUCAACAAGGAAACAGUGGAAUUAAAUGAAAAGCUAAACCAGUUGGACUUAAUAGACAUAUUUAGAACACUCCAUCUAAAAACAGCAGAAUAUACAUUCUUCUCAAGUGCACAUGGAAGAUUCUCAAGGAUAGACUGUAUGUUGGGAAACAUGGCAAGCCUCAAUAAAUUUAAAAAAAUGAAAUAAUAACAAGCAUCUUUUCUGAUCAUAAUGCUGUAAAGCUAGAUGUUAAUUAUAAGAAAAAAGCUAAGAAAGGGACAAAGAUUUGGAGACUAAAUAACAUGCUUUUGAAAAAGUAAUGGGUCAUUGAAGAAAUUGAAGGAGAAAUCAAAAAAUAUCUGGAGACAAAUGAACAUAACAUACCAUACCAACUCAUAUGGGAUGCAGCAAAAGCUAUAUUAAGAGGGAAAUUCAUCGCAAUACAGGCACACGUUAACAAAUAAGAAAAAUCCCAAAUAAGCAAUCUCAAAUUACACCAGAGUUAAAAAAGAAGAACAAACAAAGCCCAAAGUCAGCAGAAGGAGAGAAAUAAUAAAAAUCAGAGCAGAAAUAAAUGCUAUUGAAAGAAAAAAGGCAGUAGAAAUGAUCAAUGAAAUAAAGAGCUGGUUCUUUGAGAAGAUAAAUAAAAUUGACAAACCCCUAGCCAGACUUACAAAGAAAAAAGAGAGAAAGCUCAGAUAAACAAAAUCAGAAAUGAAAGAGGAGAAAUAACAACAGACUACGCAGAAAUACAACAGAUUAUAAGAGAAUAGUAUGAGAAACUGUAUGCCAACAAAACGGAUAAUCUAGAGGAAAUGGAUAAAUUCUUAGACUCGUAUAACCUCCCAAAGCUGAAUCAAGAAGAAACAAUCUGAAUAGACCAAUCACAAGGAAAGAGAUUGAAACAGUAAUCAAAAAUAUCCCAAAGAAUAAAACCCCAGGACCAGAUGGCUUCCCUGGGGAAUUCUACCAAACUUUCAGAGAGGAUUUAAUACCUAUCCAUCUCAAGGUAUUCCAAAAAUUUAGGGAAGAUGGAACACUUCCUAACACAUUCUACGAGGCCAAGAAGAUGAAUGCAUUUGGUUUUCUUUUUUCCCCAUGACUCCUUUACCUGUAGAUGAUUCUAUAUGUACAUACAUACAUGUCUAUUUUGUUGCUGGUGUUGACAGUUGACUGCCAAAUAGUUAUUGUAUAUUCAGCUUUCCACUUUGUGAAUACAAUUCUUAAAUUUAUCCUAUUCUAUUCUUUUACUGGACAUAAAACCAAACUUUUAACCCUUGCUUAAGUGAUACAUAGUUAUUAUGGCACUAUAUACCCUUUAGGUAUAUAUAAAUGUGACUGUAUGUCCUAAUUUUCCCAGGAUAGAUCUAAUUUUCACUUGUGGUUCUAGUAUAAUUGUUAAUAGCUAACUUUUUCAUGCUCAGAAGUAUCCUAGAUUGAAUGAUAGAUUACAUGGUUGCCCUACAUAUAAUGAACUUUAGUCCAACUGCACUAAUGAGAGGAUAAGGGAGUAGUUAGCAUGAAGGAAUAAUAUGAAAGCAUUUAAAGCUACCUUUUGAAAUUAGUAAAAAUCACACAUCUAUUCCUUUUUCCUGAGUAGGUCUGAUUUUUUUCUUGGUUUGGGACUUAUUUCUGAUUGUAUUUAAGUGAUAUGGGGGAGGUGAGGGUGGUAUUUAGGGUCUUGUUUCCUGUAAAUAAUCCAUAUAAAAGAUAAUAUAAAGACAGAUCAUCUUGAUCUGACUCCAUUUGAAAAAAAUAAUUUAGAAUGACAAAGAUCCAACCAAUUGUUUAUGAAAAUUUAUUCUUUCAUGCUAAUUAUUUAUUUGUAUUUUUAUGUGCUCAAUAUUAUGCUUUUUUGAAUUUGUCUAUAAAUAUCUUUGUCCUCCAUCAAAGUAUCAGCACAUGGAUCUCUAAUGUAAUAAAAUAAUUGCACUGUAUUAACUUUUUAAAUAUAAACAUUUUGUAGUUACUGUUAUGUUUUGCAUUCCCAAAGUUGCUAUUAUAUCUGGACAAGGCUUAAAAUUACUUUUGUUUUGGAUGUAUAUUGUUUUAAUUGAUGUAUUUGGCUCAGAUCUUGUCUACAAGCCAAGGAGAGAGAACUCAGAAGAAAUAACCAUGCUGAUAUCUCCUUGGCUUGUAGAUGGCUAUCUUCUUUCUGUGUCUUUACCUGGUCUUUCCUCUGUGCGUGUGUACCUAUGGUGUCUCUUUGUGCGUCCGAAUUUCUUCUUAUAAGGACACCAGUUAGAUUAGAUUAGAGUUCACCCUAAUGACCCCAUUUAACCUUAAUUACCCCUUUAAAGACUCUUUCUCCAAAUACAGUCACAUUCUGAGGUACUGGGGGUUAAGGCUUCAACAUAUGAACUUUGAGGAAACACAACUCAGCCCAUAACACCCUAGAAGGAGGAAUUUCAUUUACCAGAAUAAGUGAAGCCAAAUCUUGUAGCACCAAAAUUUGAAAGCAGUGAUGAGACAAGAUCUGAGCUACUCCAGGAAAAUUCUGGGAAGUUGUUUUAUAUUGUAGAUGGCAUAUAUUGUUGGAACAAAAAUUUCUUUUAUUGCUUAUGCUCUGAGAAGACCUAAUGCUCUUGAAGAAUUAUGUACCUGAAUACAGAAAUAACUCUUGUUUCAAUGGCUUCUGUUUGGUAUAUUCUUUACCUUCCCAAGAUACCUUGCGUAAAUAAUAAAAUAAAGAGGCUAAGACUCAGAAUAAAUGAGUUUAAUCCCUAUAAACAAUUAAUUAGUUCUAUGGCCCUAAGGAAAUUGAACUUACAUUUUUAGGUGUUAAUUUCUUCAUUUAAAUUUUAUUACUAUUUUUGAAGAUAUGUUUCUCCUCCCAUACCCCACCACUCAUUUCCAAUAGGAAAGGUUAGGUUGGUUGGAUGUGUAAAAUGAUUGGGUCCCUUAGAGAAAUGUUAUGGAGAGAGACCUUGAAAUUCAUAAAUUAUUAGAACAAGAACUGAUGUUACAGAUCAUCUCUUUCAAAUUCUUCGAUUUUUCAUGUGAAGAAUUUGGAGUCCACGAAAACAUAGAUUAUUUUAUUAAGAAUUUAAGCUCUGGAGUCAGACCAAUCUGGGCUUGAAUCAGCCCUGGCCACUUUCUAACAGUGUCACUUUGGGUAAAUUACUUAACCUCUCUAAACCUUGGCUCCUUCAAUUACAAAGUGAAGAGAAUAACAGUAUUUCCUUCGUAGGGUUGCUGUGUGUUUAAAAUGGAAUAAUAAUUGUAAAGCACUUAGCAUGGUGUCUGCCCCUUGUUAAAUGUCCAAUAAACAGUUAGUUAGUAUACUAUUGCCCAGGAAUAUGGAAAUAUUAUUUGAAACCCUAAGACUUCUCAGCUUUAAAGAUAUGUUUCAAAUUUAGCAAGAAAAUCAUUUCCACUUUUAAAACUUUAUAAGUACUAUUUACUUCCAGCUGUACCUUCCUUUGAUACGUUCCACCAACCAUUAAGUGCAGUAACAUUCUUUAAAGCAGUUACACACUGCUUUAGCUUUCACUCCUGCUUUGGAGUAAGCGGACAGUUUUGUAGCAGUUAGGAUUGCCAGAAUUCUAGAAAUAAAUUCUAAUUUCUAAUUCUAGAAAUACGAACAGAUUUACUCUUUGUUAGUUUACUAAAUGCAGUUAUUUAGACUUGAGCAUCUGUUGAUUUUUAGAACAUUUUUCGGGUUCGG